CCAGAUAAUUGGAUGACUGCUUUACUUGUAAAGAGGAAAGUCCGGGCUCCACAAGACAAUGGUGCCGGGUAAUACCCGGCGGGGGCGACCCUAGGGAAAGUGCCGCAGAAAACAAACCGCCUUAAUUGAAAUUUAUAAGGUAAGGGUGAAAAGGUGAGGUAAGAGCUCACCGCUUUUUUGGUAACAAAAAAGGCAUGGUAAACCCCGCCAGGAGCAAGAUCAAAUAGAGUUACAAUAGUUAGUCUUGACUGUAACUGGGUUGAUCGCAUGAUUCGUGUGGUAACACUCGAACUAGAUGAAUAGUCAUAGAUUUUUAUUAAAUCACAGAACCCGGCUUAUAGAUUAUCUGGCAAU
rnacentral:RNase_P_RNA from 1 species